rnacentral:rRNA from 1 species
UACAGAGGGGGCAAGCGUUGUUCGGAAUUACUGGGCGUAAAGCGUGCGCAGGCGGUUAUGUAAGACAGAUGUGAAAUGCCCGGGCUUAACCUGGGAACUGCAUUUGUGACUGCAUGGCUAGAGUGUGUCAGAGGGGGGUAGAAUUCCACGUGUAGCAGUGAAAUGCGUAGAUAUGUGGAGGAAUACCGAUGGCGAAGGCAGCCCCCUGGGAUAACACUGACGCUCAUGCACGAAAGCGUGGGGAGCAAACAGG